AUUGAACGCUGGCGGCAUGCCUUACACAUGCAAGUCGAACGGUAACGGGCCUUCGGGUGCCGACGAGCGGCGAACGGGUGAGUAAUGUAUCGGAACGUACCUUUCAGUGGGGGAUAACGUAGCGAAAGUUACGCUAAUACCGCAUAUUCUGUGCGCAGGAAAGCAGGGGAUCGCAAGACCUUGCGCUGAUUGAGCGGCCGAUGUCAGAUUAGCUAGUCGGUGAGGUAAAGGCUCACCAAGGCGACGAUCUGUAGCGGGUCUGAGAGGAUGAUCCGCCACACUGGAACUGAGAGACGGUCCAGACUCCUACGGGAGUCCGCAGUGGGGAAUUUUGGACAAUGGGGGCAACCCUGAUCCAGCCAUGCCGCGUGAGUGAAGAAGGCCUUCGGGUUGUAAAGCUCUUUCGGCCGGGAAGAAAUCGUAUCAGCUAAUACCUGGUGCGGAUGACGGUACCGGCAUAAGAAGCACCGGCUAACUACGUGCCAGCCGCCGCCGUAAGAC
rnacentral:rRNA from 1 species